UACGAAGGGGGCUAGCGUUGUUCGGAAUUACUGGGCGUAAAGCGCGCGUAGGCGGGUCGUUAAGUCAGAGGUGAAAUGCCGGGGCUCAACCUCGGAACUGCCUUUGAUACUGGCGACCUGGAGUUCGGGAGAGGUGAGUGGAAUUCCGAGUGUAGAGGUGAAAUUCGUAGAUAUUCGGAGGAACACCAGAAGCGAAGGCGGCUCACUGGCCCGAUACUGACGCUGAGGUGCGAAAGCGUGGGGAGCAAACAGG
rnacentral:misc_RNA from 1 species